ensembl:lncRNA
CAGCUGGCACCAGCAGCAGACAGGGAAUGCAGUGGGAGAGAAUUCCCCGUGCCUCAGCAGCUCUGGAGCAAGGGCAAUGAGAAAUCUCAAUAGGAAGCCUGCACAGCAAAGAUUUCUUCAUCCUUUUUUGAAGGCACAGUGUGACCAAAGAACACAGAUAAGGCUCCAAAAGUCCUUUGGGGUCCUGAUUUUCCAGUGAAAACAGUAGAAAAAUCCUACUCUGUUCACUGGGGGAAGGUAGAAAGAAUUCAGCUUCUGGAAGGAUAUUCUGUGCAGCAGAGACAGC